rnacentral:sRNA from 1 species
AAGCACCUUUCAUCUCUUGUAUACACAUUCGCCAUUCUUCUUUUUCAAAGUUUAUGUCUUUCAUACUGCCAUUGAUUAAGGAUUCUUUUCUGUGUUAUGGGUAUGCCUGAUAUGUGUAUGUGUAUGCGUCAUUUACUGAUUACCUGUGCUCUGAUCUUCGUGGGUACUGUGUAUGAGCUGACGCUAUAGCAAUUCUUUCUGCAAUAUUUUUUAUACUGAUUUAUUUAUCUUGUCUCAGUUUCCAUUGCAGAGCAGGAAAAUUCAUUCCUUGAUUCAAAAGCUUCUAAGUUUUUUUCUUUCGAUUCCAUUUUUCUAUCGAUGUUUGGUAUUGUGGUGGGAAGAAAUAGGGUUAUGAUGCAUGCUAUCUUUUUGUGUUUAUUGGUACAGAAGUAGAUAGCGGUAGAGUGGAUAAAAGAUGUGAUGAGCCUUUCCCCAUAUGAUCGAAGUUGAUUCUAACUGUGCUAUUCUCAUAAUUUAGUCUCAUUUAUUGAGUAUCGAAUUUCCAAGCCAGAACUCUGAUCUUUCUACCGUUUCAAUUUUAUGUGAUAAUAUUUUUGCAAAUGUUUUAAUUAAUUUGAGCAUAGUGUUGUUAUUAUUAGUUAGAAUUUGUGUUUGUUAAAAUUUUAUUGUCCAUUGAUUUUUUGCAUUGUUUGAUGGACGUGAUGAUUAUUUCCCCAUGUGAUCGACGCUGAACAUACUGUGCGAUCUUUCUCUUUAGAGAAACCAAGCCAAUUAAUCUGAUCCAUUAUGUAUGUUUUAGAAUGUUCAUCUUAGAAUUGAUAUGUGUUUCAGAAGCGCAUUUGUCUUUCUCAUGCGAAGCUAUUCAUGAGGUGAUCGACGCUGAACAUACUGUGCGAUCUUUCUCUUUAGAGAAACCAAGCCAAUAAAUCUGAUCCGUUAUUAAGCGGUUGCAUUUGCCUUCGAACAAUUAUUGGAAGCUUCAUGGAUGAUAUGAUUUCUGAUUAAAUUUUAUGAAUUAGCUAGUUGAUAUUUGGCAUUAAAAUUGCACUGCAAGAUGGAAGUGAUGAUUAUUUCCCCAGAUGAUCGAAGCUGAAUAUACUGUGCGAUUUUUCUCUUUAGAGAAACCAAGCCAAUAAAUCUGAUCCAUCUUUGCAUAUUUUCAAUUUGAUUUUCUCUUUGGAUAGUAUAUGUUCAUAUUUCAUAUUUUCAUAGCAAUUGUGUCUUUUCUUUUUGCCUAGGUUUAAUAGGGAUUUGUGAAUACCUUUUUAAUUGUAGAUUCCUGAUAAAUUAUGUUGGAGAAUUGAUGAAGGGUGUAUUUUGUAAUUGGAUAUUCCCAUCUUUUCUAAAGGUUAUUCUCCAGAUAACAAUUAACAGGAGUUUAAUGCUUGUGCUACAUUGUAUGUGGAUUGCAAGUUUGGCUCUUCUGUUACAUACAUACCA